CGGCAGCCGAAGUUCCUAUCGCGGGUCCCCUCAUAAAUGAUGGCCGGUCCCGGCGCGCAAAGGGCAAGACAUCAUAGGGGGGGCUUUGUGACACAGGCGGGAAGCGCAGCGAACCCGUGUGUGAUGCGAUUCUGGAAGACGGCAGACACUCGCGCGACCGUCCCGUUUUCAGUUGAUUUUCUGCCUCGGUGCGAAGUACGCGCGUGUGUCUGGUGCCGGUGUAAGCGCGCGCGCGAGCGUUUUCGAAGUUUCGGUUCGCGUACGUAGCGGAAAUGUUGCUCGCGUAAUGUUGUUGGUCGCGUGUUGUUGCUCGAAUCGGGCUGUGCGGCAAUUUUUGUAACUAAAAGAGCACGAAGAAGAGUUUUACAGUGAUAGUGAGUAAAUAAAAAAAAAACAA